UACAGAGGGGGCAAGCGUUAUUCGGAAUUAUUGGGCGUAAAGCGCGUGUAGGCGGCAUGGCAAGUCGGGUGUGAAAGCCCUCAGCUUAACUGAGGAAGUGCGCCCGAAACUGCUGUGCUUGAGUACCGGAGAGGAUGGCGGAAUGCCCCAAGUAGAGGUGAAAUUCGUAGAUAUGGGGCGGAACACCGGUGGCGAAGGCGGCCAUCUGGACGGAUACUGACGCUGAGACGCGAAAGCGUGGGUAGCAAACAGG
rnacentral:rRNA from 1 species